UGUUAAUAAUUGUAUGAUAACAUUUGGAUUUUUGAUUUCCAAUACUUAAGUUUAAUUCUUAAAUUAGCAG
rnacentral:tRNA from 2 species